ensembl:lncRNA
UAUGUCUAAAGGAAGCUGCUUUGUGGUGUGGUCCCUGGAAGAAUGGGGAGUUUCUAUGGGUAAAAUACCUUUGUCCCUGUGUCAUAUCAUCAUGGUGCACUGCAGUGUGCUGUCCUGGGGCAGAGGAGUGGAAAGCCCCAGUACUGCCAUAACCCCAGAUGAUAACAGUACCUGGGAAGAGAGUGGCAACACAGCAUCUCUGUAAGCUCUGAGAUCUUCUGGUUAUCUAAUAUAUUGGGGAUAUGAAAGUACGUCUCUUUGAACACUUUGUGCAAUUAAAAAAAAAAAUCUUAUUAAUUUUUUUGUUCUAUAAUUAGACAAAUGUUGGAAUGAUCUCAACUCAAUGUUUUCUAAUGGAGGAUUAGUAUUUCUGUAGGAAUCAGAGUCCUGUCCUUAUGUACCCUGAUAGCCUCGAAGUCUACUUGAAAGCCACAGACUUGCGUUGAACAAGCCAUGUCAACAGGAUGUGUUAGCUCAGUGUGUACUUCAGGGGCUUUCUUACUGUGUGACAACCACACGAGGUAAGUGCUCUACUUGCAGUGCAGUUGUUUUGUAUAAAAAGAAAAAGACCUGAGCUGCCAUUGGUAGUCAUUGCUCUAUAUAGAAAUACUUCCUGGCCAGAAAUUGCUGGAUACCAACAAGCAGUGUGAGGGAGUAACCGGGAUAAUUCAGGACAAAAAUGUAAGAGAGACCAGAAAAAAAAACUGGGCACAGGAAAGGGAAUGUAGGGAACAGUGCCCGUGUAAACAGGCAGGGUGUGUCUUCUGGUAUGCUUUUUUCCUAACAGUGGAGAACCUGGGGCUGACGCUGACAUGAAGCAUGCCAGUAAAUGUAACACCUGAAGAAAGAGUACACAUGCGAGUCACAAAAGCUUUUGUAAGCUAAAAUUGUUUGCUUUAGCUGCAGGAAGCAGAACUGUGGCACACAGCCAUUUUGCCCUGAUUUUUUCUGUGUUUUUCAACAGAAAAGUCAUCUCCUCU